UUAACAUCAUAAAGGAUAUCAUUGGUGCGUUAAUAAAUCAAAUUUAUUUGUUUUUGGACAGUUAAGAUGUUGAUGCUUUACGUUUCAAUUGGUAUUACUGCAUUAGUGGUGGUGGUAAUACUAGUUCCCAUGUCAGCUUGCCUAUUGAACAACGGGUAAGUUACUCUUAUUUCUUUUUGGAGGGAGCUAUGCAGAUUUGUAUUUGUUUUUAGCUGUUUUGUUCUGUUUGUAUAAAUUGGCAUUAUUUUUCUCAUCAGUGGGAGGAGUCAUAGUGACCAGCCAGUAACCAGUAUGCAGGAUAUGGAUGCAUCCAAGUGUGCUUCCUCAGAUCCCUCAACAUCAAGGAAAGAGCAGAAAGACACCAGCAGUGAAAUCAACACAAACUACUAUACCAAGAAUCACCUAUAUGGCAACAUAGAGGUAUGUACUGUAGGCCUACUGCAGACAUUUACAGUUGCUGUAGAGAUCUGAGAAAAUGUUGCUCUAUAUAAAAAAACAAUAGAGGUGUAAUCGGCCUG
rnacentral:lncRNA from 1 species